GACGAACGCUGGCGGCGUGCCUAAUACAUGCAAGUAGAACGCACAGUUUAUACCGUAGCUUGCUACACCAUAGACUGUGAGUUGCGAACGGGUGAGUAACGCGUAGGUAACCUGCCUGGUAGCGGGGGAUAACUAUUGGAAACGAUAGCUAAUACCGCAUAAUAUUAAUUAUUGCAUGAUAAUUAAUUGAAAGGUGCAAUUGCACCACUACCAGAUGGACCUGCGUUGUAUUAGCUAGUAGGUGAGGUAACGGCUCACCUAGACGACGAUACAUAGCCGACCUGAGAGGGUGUUCGGCCACACUGGGACGGAGACACGGCCCAGACUCCUACGGGCGGCAGCAGUAGGGAAUCUUCGGCAAUGGACGAAAGUCUGACCGAGCAACGCCGCGUGAGUGAAGAAGGUUUUCGGAUCGUAAAGCUCUGUUGUAAGAGAAGAACGGGUGUGAGAGUGGAAAGUUCACACUGUGACGGUAUCUUACCAGAAAGGGACGGCUAACUACGUG
rnacentral:rRNA from 1 species